ACGUGUUUGUAAACGUUUGCUGGCGGGCAGGAUGAUCCAGCCUGGGCUCUGAACGGCCCCUCACAGUUAGGCAGGCAUAUGCCACUUAGCCGCUAUGAUGAACUCACCGUCACAGCGUGAAAAGUAGCUUAUCUGACAUAUCUUAACAGUUACACUUUGAUAUACUCUGCCGACUGAAACCAAACAAAUAUCUUCUUUGGAUGCGGUGCCAAGAGAACUGGGAAAUACGUGUACGGUAUAGAGAUAGGGCCAGCAGGACCCGUGUCCUCGCCCUCCUCAGCAACUCCACCACGCAGUGCCACUCGGACGUUUCACACUCUGCCUUUAACAGGCCCGCGCCCUGCCUCGCUGCCUCCUGCUGCGGCCAGACCCCCAGCUCCCCCUCGGACCCACGUCCCGCUUUAGGGUGCAGCCGGGUGCCCGGCGGCUCACACCUGCCCUCUUUCCGAGGCCGGCCUCACGUCGCUGCUCCGGGGCUGCCGACCCCCGCGGGCCGCGCCCGGCCCCGCCGCUCGGGUAGCUCCGCCGCGGCUGCCUCACCGGCUCCGCGCCCUGGGCGGCACAGCUAACCUGCCGGGCCGGAGCCUCGGGCGCGGUGCUCGCCACGCCUUUCUCCUCACAGGAACGUGGCAGCGGCGCCUGCCCGGGACGUCCAGGGGCACGGGGAAGAGCAUGUGGCCAUGGAUCCAACUAGUCCAACAGCUUGCUUUCAGCAGCGAUUGCAAGUGGUCACCAGAGGAAGGGCAAGCGCAAGGAAAGCCUUCUCUCAGCUAUCCUGCCAGCCUCCAGCUGCUUUGAGUUUGGAACAUUUCCUCAGAGCAAUGUAAUUUCUGUGUACUUAGUAGCCUUCAAUGAAUUCCUAUUCCAGCCAGCUUCAUGCAUCUUCUGCUGGUGCCUCCUCGUUGCUGCAGGAAGACACAUCAAAGAAGAGGCAGUUUAAAAAAAGGCAAGGAAGAAUGGAGGACUGACUUUAUUCAGGGGUAUUUUUUCUUCCCUUUUCUACAUACACCCAUCUAUUUCAGCCUCUUCUUUAAAUGCCCUGUUUUCAAGUCUUCUUGCAUCUGUUACAGUGGGUACUUUGGCCUUUUCCUCACAACCUCCCAGCUGCAGUUUUUAACAUAUCAGACAGCUGCAGGAGGCAACUAACAAAGAUCACACCUUGUCUAAAUUUUGCACCAGCUUAACUGGAACAGCAGUGUCUCCUCUAUAGAAACCCUAGAGUCAGUUCCACAGUGGCUUAUUUCACAUUACUUUAAACCUACUACUAAUUGAUAAAAGAUGAAUAUAAAGAAGUUCACCAGUUUUACUGAAGCAAUAUAAAGUCACACAUAAUAGCUAGUCCACACAUGGGCUUACCCUGAUUAACAUCAUCUGUAGAGUAAGAAUUCCUUCUUCCUGCUUAGUUUGCCACCAGAAGUGGAAUGAGGCAAACUCAACUAAGAAUUUAAGAAAUAUUUCUAGAAACCCUCACAGCUAUGGCCAUCUGAAGAUCUGAUCAUAGUUCUUGGUUGCCUUUUUUUUUCAUAUUAAUACAUAUCUCCAGUAUAAAUUGGCGCUCUCACCUACAAUCAGAUUCAGUGGCUUCAAGUACAUGUGAUUCUAAUUACUGACCCCAAGCUUUGUAGUGAGCUAAGCUGUGCACUUGGGGCUCAAUUCAAACCUCCUGGAAGUCCAUAGAAAGGGCUUAUGAGAGGGAACAUUUUGCACAACCACAUUUUUUUCUUACAUCUGUUUGCAAAAGCCUUGUAAUCCUUUGUGUAGCUUUUCAAACAAACAAAUUCUUUGAUUACGAUUUUAUUUUUACUUCAGAAGAAUAAAAAUCAUUUGCAAAAGCUCAAA